CCCUUAGAUGUUCUGGGCCGCACGCGCGCUACACUGUUCGACGCAGCGAGUCUUAACCUUGACCGAAAGGUUUGGGUAAUCUUCAGCAAAGUCGAACGUGAUGGGGAUCGAUCAUUGCAAUUAUUGAUCGUGAACGAGGAAUUCCUAGUAAGUGCAAGUCAUCAGCUUGCGCUGAUUACGUCCCUGCCCUUUGUACACACCGCCCGUCGCUACUACCGAUUGAGUGGUCCGGUGAAUUAUUCGGACCGGUGGACUGUGGGGAAACCCGCGGCCUGCUGGGAAGUCUUGUGAACCUUAUCACUUAGAGGAAGCAGAAGUCGUAACA
rnacentral:rRNA from 1 species